AAACUUUUGAGUGGUUUGUGUCUCCUGAUUGGACUCCUACAAAUACAGAAUUGAUGCUAGGAAGGGUACCAGGAGAUAGACGCACACAGAUGGGAUUUGGGAAUAGGUUUGGUUAUCCAAGGAGCAGUGCUGAGCUCCUUGCAAUGGGAUAUGGGAUGCUGGUGAUUUCCAGGAAGUGCGCUCACAAUGACUCAAGCUGCCACAUACUGUUGAUUGUGAAAUGCCAGUUGAAGCAUAUGUCCUGCAAGCUUAGGGGUGCUACAAGUUGACCACUGCAGCAGUAAAGAUGACUCUGAAGAACGGCGUGGGAUGGUUCCUUUCAAAUGCACUUGAGCAGCGGUCUCCAACCACAGGGCCACAGAGCUGGAGCUGGAUCUACCAUGAAAGACUUGUGAAUCCAGGAAGAGAGACUGACUGGGCAACAUGUUAUUCAGGGUCUCCCUCUGUUGUCCAAGGCUGGAGUGUAGUAGUGCUAUCGCAGCUGACUGCAGCCUCAACCUUCCAGGCUGAAGCGAUCCUCCCACCUCAACCUCCCACGUGGCUGAGACUACAGGUGCUUGCCACUAUGCCCAACUAACAUUUGGAAUUUUCGUAU
rnacentral:lncRNA from 10 species